rnacentral:lncRNA from 1 species
GUCAUGUCCAAACAACUCAUACUUGCACAUUUAGAGCCUCAGCUACCUGAGAGAUACCUUACGUGGAACCAAGGCAAGAACAAGAAUUUAUUUAUCUCUUAUAAAGACUCUUAAAAUUUUAUGGCAAAUCAAUGUCUUUGAUACUUUGUAUUAGUCCUUAUAAUGAGGAAAGAAGCUAUUAUUAAAGAAGUUUCCAAGUUCUGAUUUUCUACAUAUUUUUUCAGAAAACUACAUUUCUAACAUUUACCAUCCUCCCACUCUACAUAAAAAGUUAAAACACCUCUAAAGCUACAUACAACCCCACAAAGACAGACCUUGGUGCUGACACUGAAAUUUGUUUGCCACCUGCGGAGAAAAGUAGAUACCACUAGGGAACAAACAUCAACCCAUUGAGAGUCUCCAGGAGCUCAGUGUAGAAUUAAGGCAUAGAUCUAGUUGGGAAUGGGGCUGGAUGGGGGUUGGAAUCUCAUUAGAAGCUGGAAAAGACCAUCAAGGGAAAGCUUAACAUCAUUGUCCUUGGUGAGGAAAACUUAGCCCUGGGUUGAAGAAAAGAUUUUGCUGCGGGAGGUGGGAAUGGGGUUGGGCGGGUGGGUGUGUGAGGUGAAGCUGAGAGUUGGUUNNNNNNNNNNNNNNNNNNNNNNNNNNNNNNNNNNNNNNUCGCGAGCGUUCAAAAUCUCUGAUUACUGCACUUGGGCUGGGCUUGGGUGAGGUUUCUUCGGUUGCGUUCCCCCCACGGCCCCAGACCUGAUCCACUGCUUCCCACCCCAUCCCCUGGGCCAGGCAGGUGCCUGCGUGGUGCAAACCCCAACCCCAACAACCCCCUCCCCCGCUCUACCUGUACCCCUGCGUCCCCGGAACCCUGGACUGGUCCGCAUACUGAGUGCGUUG